AAGUGGAAGUGUGUGUUUAUUAUUAUUAUAAUUAUUAUUAUUGUAAUAUUGUUUCAUCCCAAACAAAAUAACCUAAAAUUAAUUUGUUAUUGUGGCCUGUGGGAUCUCUUUCAUCGCCUCUCCAGUGCCGGCUGAAAACAGAGUCUCCCUCCCCUUCCCUUCCCUUCUUCGUCACAAUUUCAAUUUGAUAUAGCCUAGGUCUAGGUGGGUGGCGUUGGAUGAUGAUGAAUUUUAAGAACCUAGACGAGUUCUGGGCUUUCUACGUGAGCCAACACUCGAAAGCCGCCACUCGGCGGCUGCACUUUUUGGGCACUCUAUCGGGGUUGUUGUGCCUGUUGAGCUCGCUGUACUCCGGGCGCUGGAUCAUCCUGCUCCUCGCUCCCAUCAUUGGCUACUCCCUGGCCUGGUAUAGCCACUUCUUCAUCGAGGGCAACGUCCCGACUACUUUUGGCCACCCCUUCUGGUCAUUCCUUUGCGAUCUCAAGAUGUUCGCUCUCAUGCUUUCGGGCCGGAUGGACAAGGAGAUCAAGCGCCUUGGCAAGCGCCCUCUUCUCUAGUAAUUGUCGUUUCCAGCACUUUCAACCACCACAAACGGAUAAUGUCUUCAUGGCAAUAUGGCAUGCAUGAGCUCAUUAUUGAAAUGAGAGAGAUUCAAGGAGGAGCAUUAGAGACAACUAAACACUAGGAUGCCAAUGAAGAAAGACCACUCCUUGGUUUUAACCAAUGUAGCAAACACGCGUGAGUGCAUUUUCAGCAGUUAACAUAUGGUUACUAAAUCAAUGGGGUUCAUCUUGGCGGUGGAGUCUGACGAAACAUGAGGUUAUUGGUUAUAAUUCUACUUGAACCCAGACUGGCAGGCAGAGAUGUCUUCAGUCUUAGAAUAUAUAAAAGCUGCAUGGAAGGGAGAGGGAGAUGGAGAUGGAGAUGGAGAUGGAGAUGGAGAUGCCACACACACUCUUGCGUGCUUGUUGCAGUUGUGAUUUUUUUGGAGGAGAAAUGCGACUAUCAGGAUAUUGUUCUGCACUGUUGCUGCUUAUGUGGUCUUUCAGAUCUCUGGCUACAUUCUCUUAUUGUUUGUUUCCAGUGUUGUGCUUCUCUUGUUGUUUGUUUUUGCAAAGGCCGCUGGGCUACUCGGUAGAUAAUCACAAUAUUUUAACUGUUGUAUGAUUAUAAAGCACACCAACAAAUGAGUGAAUUACUGAA